AACUUUCAACAAUGGAUCUCUUGGUUCUGGCAUCGAUUAAGAACGCAUCGAAAUGCGAUAAGUAAUGUGAAUUGCAGAAUUCAGUGAAUCAUCGAAUCUUUGAACGCACAUUGCGCCCCUUGGUAUUCCGAGGGGCAUGCCUGUUCGAGCGUCAUUACAACCCUCAAGCCUAGCUUGGUGUUGGGCUUCGCCACUAACCUGGCGGGCCUUAAAAUCAGUGGCGGUGCCUCCGUGGCCCUGAGCGCAGUAAAUAUCCUCGCUAUAGGGACCCGGUGGUUACUGGCCAGCAACCCCCAACUUUCUAAGUUUGACCUCGGAUCAGGUAGGGAUACCCGCUGAAUUUAAGCAUAUCAAUAAGCGGAGGCU
rnacentral:misc_RNA from 1 species